rnacentral:rRNA from 1 species
UACGGAGGGUGCAAGCGUUAUCCGGAUUCACUGGGUUUAAAGGGUGCGUAGGCGGGCAGGGAAGUCCGUGGUGAAAUCUCCGAGCUUAACUCGGAAACUGCCGUGGAUACUCUCUGUCUUGAAUCCCGUGGAGAUGAGCGGAAUAUGUCAUGUAGCGGUGAAAUGCUUAGAUAUGACAUAGAACACCAAUUGCGAAGGCAGCUCGUUACACGAAGAUUGACUCUGAGGCACGAAAGCGUGGGGAUCAAACAGG